AGUCACUGACAUUAGAUACCCCCGUAGUCCAGGGUGUAAACGCUGCAGACUUGGUGUUGGAGGCCCUUUGGGGGCAUUCAGUGCCGGAGAGAAGUUGUUAAGUCUGCUACUUGGGAGUACGUCCGCAAGGAUGAAACUUAAGGAAUUGGCGGGGAGCACCGCAACGGGAGGAGCGUGCGGUUUAAUUGGAUUCAACACCGUAAAACUCACCAGGGAAGACUGUUACAUGAAGGCCGAGAUGAAGACUCUGCUAGAUUUUCAG
rnacentral:rRNA from 1 species